UACGUAGGUGGCAAGCGUUGUCCGGAUUUAUUGGGUUUAAAGGGUGCGUAGGCGGUCUUUUAAGUCAGUGGUGAAAUACGGCAGCUCAACUGUCGAGGUGCCAUUGAUACUGGAAGACUUGAGUACUGAUGAGGUAGGCGGAAUGGACGGUGUAGCGGUGGAAUGCGUAGAGAUCGGGAAGAACAUCAGUGGCGAAGGCGGUCUGCUGGGCCGUUGCUGACGCUGAGGCGCGACAGCGUGGGGGAGCAAACAGG
rnacentral:rRNA from 1 species